GGGUAAGCAGUAAACUAGGCAUUGAUGAAGAAUGAAUUAAUAAAGAGGAGAUAUUUGUAGAGGCCAGAAUAAUUUAAUUCUAGGCAAUUCAAAACUAUUUAAUGCUCCCAACUUUAUUGCUUUCCUGAGUCUUAAAAUCCUAUAUCUGCUUUCAAUUCCUUCCACAUUGCUACUAAUAUUUUAAAUAAUAAGUUUUUUUUAAUCCUUUAGAAAAAGUUGCAGACUCUGCUGUUUGUUGCAUAGUACAUAAGUUAUCAUUAUGUCAGGAUAAUGAUAAGAGGCUGACUUGAUUUAUGUAAAAAUAAUACUUUUUUUUUUUUUUUAACCUCAAAGACUACUAGAGAACACUAAGGAAAAAAAAUAAUUAAUCACACAUACAGAUGAGGAGCCAGCGUCAGAAGGAGAAUGAACUACUUUCUAUGUGUCUUUGGCAAUUUCAGGUACACAGUACAGAAAUAAAAAUUCUAUGCACAAUUCUUUCAAACAGUUUUGCCAUCUGGUCUGGAGUUCUAUUUCCAGAUUACUUUUUGGUAUUUACAAAACAUUAAAGUAGUAUCACUGUCUAUUUACAAAUAGUAGUUAUAUUUUAGCCCACUCUUCUGCAACAGAGAGAGAUGUUUACAUGAAUAUGUAUAAUCACAUCUAUGGCUAUUUCCUGUUAGUGGUCUCCAAACUACUGUAGGUCAACUGAUACUGUAAAAAAGGGGAAUAUUUUUUUCUCAACUUUCACAGAUGUAAAAGGCUUUUUUCAGAAGUAGUCUCAGUGGAAAACAGAUUCUGGAAGUCUUUAAAACCUUCUUUCUAAAAGGGCAGGAGGAACCAUUCAUAGGAGAAUGAUCCCAAGUAUUCAGUUUUCUCUUUUGUUUUUCAAGUCAGGAGCUGAAUAAAUAAAGUCAGGAGUUCUUCAGGUUUUGGAACUUUUUUUUUUCUCUUUGUUUUUAAGAAAGGGCUUGGCUAUAUGACAGGGGUAAAACACAUGCACACAGAUGUGCACAGAUAUCUCUAUCCUUAGCUGUCCUUCGCAAGUAAUUAAGAUCAACAUAGCUGAACUGCAGAACAUGAUGUUUCUUUGAUUUCUAACUUACAGACUGAAUGGCCUUCAAGACUUUUAUAAGUUUCUGAACAAAGUAAGCAAGGAAGAAGUACUUAGUUCCUCCCUGCAUUGUUCUGUGGUAGAAUGGCUCCUUGAUCUUUAGCCAGAGAUUGGAGCUGGAUAUGAUUACUCAGUGCUUCUCACUGAGAUGGAGCUAAGGGAGUUGGGUAAAAUUAUCAGCACCAGCCCAGGACAAACAAACGGUAUGUUUCAUGUGACACUUAACUAAACUGUAGAAAUUAUUAACACAGAAUAUUGUGAAGGACAACAUUUCAUAAGGAUUCAGAAGUGAUCAGAUAUGCCACUAGAAGCUGUUUUACACAAUGUCCUGAGUAUACUACAGAAGCUAUCUUGCCCUUGAUAAUCUUCCUCUGCUAAAUGUCUACUAUUGACCAUUUUGCAGUCAGGAGCCAGAGACAGAAGCAUUUUUUCAUGCAACAUGGUCAUUCCUAUAAUAUGUUCAUGCUCACAAACUGGUAUGCAGAGUAAGAUUUUUCAGUUUCUGACACACAUGAUCUCUUGAUGAUCAUGCCAAAUGGAAUUGUUAGGUGCAUUUUAUCAAGCAUUAGAGUAGCCCUAGCAUUCUCAGGGACAAAAGCACUAUCAGCUCAUUCAGUCAAAUUAUUAAGAUAUUUAUUCUACUAACGUUUCAGAUAUAGUUAUUUUUCAUAUGGAACAUUCUGCCUUUUGCCUUUUGAAAAGCCAGUUGUUCUCUCAGUUUCAAUGACCCCUUUAAGCAUAACAAGAAUACUGUGGGACUCUGAAGGCUUAAAAGCUCUGCUUGUUGCUAUGCUGUAAUAAAUGAUCAUUUCAGUACAAUGACACAAUUCUUUUACAUCAUUAAAUCUUCACAUUGUUUCAAAUACAUAAUUUAAUACAAAUGUUUUUCACAUAUGCAGUCUUUCUAUUUGUCUCAAAAAAAUUUAAGACUUGAGAAGCAAGCUGCACUGGUAGCCUGUAAUAGACACCCACUAUAAUGUCAACCCUACAUGUCUUCUCUUUAAUCCUUACCCAUAAGCUCUAGCCUGGCUCAUCAUUCAUCCCCAGGCAGAGCUCUGUGCAUUCCAGCUCUUUUCUCCUAUAAAGAGCUUGUCUUCCCAUCCUGUCUUUCCUGAAAAGCCUGUAUCUCUUCAUUGCAACACUCCAGUCAAGGGUGCCAUGCCACUAUGUCUUUGUGAUCCCAAAAUGAUCAUAGCCCUGCAGCUGCACUCAGAUCUGUAAUUCAUGUUCAUGCUUCGUGUGUGAGCAUUAGUGUAUGAGCAUAUCACUAAUGGCAGCAUUCAUUGUACCAUCUUCUUCAACUUACAAAUCUCCAACUCACCUUCACGGUAAUCAGAUAAGACUCAUGUUUGAUUUUUACUGGUGUUGCCAAAGCACCAUCUUAUGUCCUAGAAGUGCUUUACAUUUCGAUUGUAUUUUAUCCUCAUGUGUAAACAUCUUUGGUUCAAAACUCAUGUUAACCUGUUUUUGCAUUCUUUCCCUAUGCAAAGGUGUUUAAGUGUAAGUAGCAUACAGCAAAGAAGAACCAAUUCUAGUACCAAGACAACUCGAAAAGGAAUUAGAGCUGCACCUUCAGACCUUUCUGUGGUCUGGUUUAAGCUGUCUGUGGGAUUACAUAUCUUCUGGUGAAAUCCUGGCUGCUGACAAUAGGUUAGACUCCAUUGACGCUAAAGCAAAGACCUGCAGAUGAUAGCCACUGCACCUUCAUUUAAAGCAGUGUGUAUAUUUUCCCUUACACAGUUGCAAAGUUUCAUGGGGGAGGAACAGGGUGAUUCUUCAAGGAACUGAGAGAAAGAAUGGGAUCACCAAGAGUUCCUAGAGACUUCAGUUUAAAAAAAAAAAAAAAUAAUCCAUCAUCUGAAAAACCUUUCUUGCCUUAUAUUCUUUUUUACUGAUACUUGUGUUUGCUUCAUAUUCUAGGCAACAUUUUGUUUCCUACUGGCCUUCAGACUGCUCUGGAGAAGAAGACAGAAGGCCAAAAGAUCACCAGAAUAUUUCUGCUUUUAGUGAAAAAUUACAGUUUAUUCUCAAGUAUCAGCCAAGUAAUAAGAAAAUGCGCAUCACCAAUUCAGUUUAUUUUUUUUCUGGAAGAUCCUGGCAUUUCUAUCUCAGAAACAUAAAAUGUGUAUGUGUGCAUGACUGCAGUGAUACUACAUUUAAUAGAAUCAUAGGGAAUAGAGUUGAAAUAUUAGUGAAUUAAAUACAUAGUUUCAUUAUCCUUAGGUUUACCUAUCAGAGAAAUACAAACUUGAAAAAUAAUAAAUGUCAUAAAAUGGCAGUAAUUUAUGGCAACAUUUUACCAUAUAAAUAGCUGGAUUACAGUUGUUUGACAUCUGUAAUGACUCAUGGCCAUAUCUAGUGGAAUACAACCAUGCUGACCCAGUAUAGCAUACCGUCUAGGAAGAAAAAGAGGAUACAUGAAGAUGACACUUACUUGAAAUUUAUUUUGAGUGAGGGCUUCUGGAUGCCAGCAAUGGAGAACUAUAUUUACCAUAAGUCUAAACUUACCCAAGCAUAAUUUAAGGUAUAGUGGUCCACAGCUUGUGCCAAAAAAUAGUUCUGUACAAUAUGUAUACUUCUUGUAGAUAAAAUCCACUUUUAUUGACCUGUUUCCUUUAAACACUGUGAUGAACAAAUACAUACUUAUGAACCAAACAUAUAGCAGAGCGACUGGUGUGUGGAUGAUUAAGUUGCAAUACCACAAGAAACUAAUAAAGUUGUUACACAUAAUUGAUUCUAGACCUUGGCUGCAUAUUUGGCAAAACAGUAGCAAAAAACUUCCAACUGAGGCAGCAGGAGAAGUGACUUGGGAAUUUGAGGUAAACCAGAGCAGAUCAUCAUGACAUAAUAUACUUCAAAGUGCCUAAGUUUUUUAAAUCAGCAUAGUUGAAUAUUCUAUUAACCUGACUUCUAAGGUGCAAUGCCAAUGCUUUCUUCUGAGAGAAUAAUUGCAAAAUCAUGUUAGAACACAUAUUUAAUGCAAGUAACUCGACUUUCUUUGAUCCUCUGUUCUUACAUAUAGAGUCCCGGGUUCUUACAGGUGUACAGAAUUCUGGAAGGAUAUCAGUAGUUCCAAGCAUUUCUGGCCAGAAUAGUGGUAAAAUUAGGAUAAUAAAUCCAUAGAUCAACAACCCACGCUUUUUUGUUUUGUUAUGGGGCUUUGUUGUUUUUU